UACAGAGGGGGCAAGCGUUGUUCGGAAUUACUGGGCGUAAAGGGCGCGUAGGCGGCCUUCUAAGUCAGACGUGAAAUCCCUCGGCUCAACCGGGGAACUGCGUCUGAUACUGAAAGGCUUGAAUCCGGGAGAGGAAUGCGGAAUUCCAGGUGUAGCGGUGAAAUGCGUAGAUAUCUGGAGGAACACCGGUGGCGAAGGCGGCAUCCUGGACCGGCAUUGACGCUGAGGCGCGAAAGCCUGGGGAGCGAACGGG
rnacentral:rRNA from 1 species